UAUAUUUUGGUGUAUGGUGCACGUGAAUUUUUGAUGUUCUUGGUGUCAGUUUGAUUCUGUCAAGUAUAG
rnacentral:tRNA from 1 species